rnacentral:rRNA from 1 species
UACGUAGGGGCCAAGCGUUGUCCGGAUUUAUUGGGCGUAAAGAGCUCGUAGGCGGUUGGGUAAGUCGGGUGUGAAAACUCCAGGCUCAACUUGGAGAUGCCACCCGAUACUGCUCUGACUUGAGUUCGGUAGGGGAGUGGGGAAUUCCUGGUGUAACGGUGAAAUGCGCAGAUAUCAGGAGGAACACCGGUGGCGAAGGCGCCACUCUGGGCCGAAACUGACGCUGAGGAGCGAAAGCGUGGGGAGCGAACAGG